CUUUAGGUUGGGGAUCGAAUUGGCAAGGAGCAUUGCAAAGUUAAUUUGCAAGAGUUGUUAAACCCAGACAAAAAACAAGAUUUUAUUAAGAGAACAACAUCAAAUUCAAAUUCAUUGGAGAUGGAUAAAAGUUGGAUCCAUCUUAACAGAGCAACGGUGGAAUAUGAGCAAAAAGCUAGGGAGUUU